rnacentral:siRNA from 1 species
GGGAAGCCAACACUGGGUUAUUCG